CGGGAGACUGACUACCGGACGGGCGGUCUCCGUGCCCUACAGUGUCCACGUCCAACUUGUCCUUAACAGCCGAGCGCUCUUUGGGCCGGACCACCUGAACAGACGACAGCUGCUUCUUCUUCAGCCCAGCUAUGGAAUGGUGACCAAUCACCAUCAAGCUACUCCAGUGGUAAACCUGAUGUAAGACAUGGAAAUUCAACGCCACAGCCUGCGCAGAAAAGACAGACUCCUGAAGUAAAUCCAACAAGCACUCAUUUCGAGGCAGAAUGGAGAGAACACACAGCAACAGAGCCAAUGAGGAAAACAAAUGAGGCAGCACAACACGGAGAAGAACUUGCUGUUCAUCAGGUCUUGCACAGUGUGAAUCUCCGUCUUCAUCUCCUCUUUCGUGGCCUCGAGCUGGUUCUCCAGUUUGCUGAUCAGAGGUUCGCAGCGGCAGCCGUUCAGAGGAGCCUGCGUCGGGGAAAGAUUCAUGAAGAUGGAUCAAACAUGAGGACGACACACAUGGCUGACAGGCUUUCGUGGAGCAGUUUAUGUGCAGGGCUGUGGAUGUAGCCUGGGUGGAGUGCACCUUAUCCUGUCUGUCCUGGGCACAUCCUUCCUGGAUGAGCGCAUUGAUGACAUCACUGUUACCCACCACAGCAGCCCGGUGUAACGCAGUCUGCUCUCCCUACGGGAUGACAGAGGAACACACACACGAAAAGCUUACAAGAACUAGAACGCAAAGAAUGAUGCUUGGAGUGAAUAAUGAAAGAAAAGUCCUGGAAGAUGUACUGCAACCUGUCCUUGAGCUCACGGACCAAACGGAGUAAAUUGGGUCGGGCCCCAGAUCUGAGUUACUGCUUUUCUCUGUGUGGAGGGAGGGCCACCCCGCAGGUGGGAAGUCCAAAAAGUCCCACUCAAGGUGUAAAUGGCAAAAAAAAAAAAAAAAGGAGCAGCUGCUGGUGACCAUCAACCAGGACUGCAGCGCAAGUUAAGGAUGAAAGAAAGAUUGGGCCACGUCCAAGGAGCAGACAAAUAGAUCGGCUACUCACAUCGUCUUGGAUGUCCAGGUCACAUCCAGCUUUGAGGAGGAUAUGCACCACCUCGGUGUGGCCCUUAUAGGCAGCCAAGUGUAGUGGGCUUCUGCCAUACUGUGGAAAAAAAAACACACAAACUCAACCUGCAGGAAAACAAACCAGGAAAACAAAGGGAGAAACAUGGACUUCCUGUUGCUGGAGCUGGAGUUUACAAAGUAUUUACAGAUUAGAAAGUAUUUUGUGAGUCAACUUGAGGCGUUGAAAAUUAUUUUUAAUAUCAGGCUUAAGAGGACAAUGCCCCUUUUUUUUUGUUAUGUAAACAGGUCAU